CGUGCCAGGUUUCAUUCCAAGUGAUUUUAGAUAUCCAGCUGGUGAGAGCAUGUUUUUGACGUUCCGGAGAUUUCCAUGCGCCGUCGGACGAACUCGCGAAGUGAGCUGAGGUGUGGGCGAAAGCUUAGGUCGCUACGUUUGCGGACUCAUUGCAGAAGGUGCGGAAUGUCGAACGCAAUGGACGGCGCACGGACAACGUGAUGUGCGUCGACGGUAACGUAGCCGUGUUUACGGCGGACAUUGUGUGAACGAAUUUCUAUUGUGUGAAGGGCCAUCUCCCUAUCAGCGAGGGGGCGAUGCAGAAAUCUGAGGGGGGGGUCAGGACAUCCGGACAUCCCCCCUGGAUCCGUGCCUGAUUCAGGUUCCUUGCCUUUAAGCCCCCAAGAGCGGUACGAGUCGCUUGUGUCUGUGAAUGGCUUGCAGCAUUCCUGCCGGCUGUGCCCUUACCAGACCAAGAGGAAGUCCGACAUGAACAAACACAUACGUACACACUCAGGCGAAUGUCCCUUCAUGUGCCACCUGUGCCCGGAAGCAUUCCCUCAGGCUACCAACCUGACACGCCAUCUGCGCUGCCACACCGGAGACCGUUCCUUUUCCUGUGUGCACUGUGGUGCAUCGUUUAGGCAGAAGCGCCACCUGUCCAGCCACAUGUUCUGUCAUGCAGGGAAGAAGCCCUAAAGAUGCGUCGAUUCCUUCUACAGUGCAUUCAAGAUGAUGCGUGCUUUGGACUUCACCAGAAAUUCAUCUCACGAGCUUCUCGGAAAGCAUCUACCUGUUUGCCGUGUUACUUGACAUAGCAGUUUGAUUUAUUGUUGAUUGAACAGUGUUAUCUGUUGGCAAAUAAGCGCGAGAGUAAAUAAACAACUCGAGGAAUUGUUGUACAGGCACUACAUUCUUUCAAUUGCAGCAUCCUUAAAAAAUUGAUUAAACACUGUGAUGGUGAUGUAACUGUGUUUGUUUCAUGUGAAAUUUCCAUUCUUCCUUCUGCCCUGUUUGUCUCUUGGAAUCCUGAAAGAAAUGAACGGGUUCUAUUGCAGUCACCAAGUUGUAAUCAUUGGCGUAUUGAAAAAGGACACUGCAAUGUACUGGUAGAGAAUGUAGUUUCAUCAACGUAGCCCAUGGGACGGUAUUGCACCUGUCUUCACAAGUCUGCUAACGCAGUGCAUGAGGGUGUGGCAGUGUUACUGAGAAAAACUAAUUUGUAGAUAAGUUAUCUCCAGCACUCUGCAGCAGCGUUUGCUUUCUCUGCAUCGAGAAAUGAAUUAUAGUGAACUAUGUUUACAGUGCCACCCUCAAACAAACAUUCCC